rnacentral:rRNA from 1 species
UACAGAGGUCCCAAGCGUUGUUCGGAUUUACUGGGCGUAAAGGGUGCGUAGGUGGCGGGGUAAGUCUGGUGUGAAAGCUCCGAGCUCAACUCGGAAAAGCAUUGGAAACUAUCCCGCUGGAGGGUCGGAGGGGAGACUGGAAUUCAUGGUGUAACAGUGAAAUGCGUAGAGAUCAUGAGGAAGACCAGUGGCGAAGGCGGGUCUCUGGACAGUUCCUGACACUGAGGCACGAAGGCCAGGGGAGCAAACGGG